rnacentral:rRNA from 1 species
ACCGGUAGUAAAGUGGCAAACGGGUGAGGAAUACAUGGGUAACCUACCCUUGAGAAGGGAAUAACCCGCCGAAAGGUGAGCUAAUACCCUAUACGCUAUCUUUUUUUCGAAAAGGAUAGGAAAGCCGGGUCGAGGACCUGGUACUCAAGGAGGGGCUCAUGUCCUAUCAGCUUGUUGGUGGGGUAACGGCCUACCAAGGCUACGACGGGUAGCUGGUCUGAGAGGAUGAUCAGCCACACUGGCACUGAGAUACGGGCCAGACUCCUACGGGAGGCAGCAGUGAGGAAUAUUGCGCAAUGGGCGAAAGCCUGACGCAGCGACGCCGCGGUGGGGGAUGAAGGUUUUCGGAUUGUAAACCCCUUUCAUGAGGAAAGAUAAAGUGGGUAACCACUUAGACGGUACCUCAAGAAGAAGCCACGGCUAACUUCGUG